UACGGAGGGUGCAAGCAUUAAUCGGAUUUAUUGGGCGUAAAGGGCGCGUAGGCGGAUGUGCAAGUUAAGUGUGAAAUUCCGAAGCUCAACUUCGGAGCAGCACUUAAGACUGCGGAUCUUGAGGAUUGGCGGAGAAAAUGGAAUUCCACGUGUAGCGGUGAAAUGCGUAGAUAUGUGGAAGAACACCGGUGGCGAA
rnacentral:rRNA from 1 species